rnacentral:misc_RNA from 1 species
UACGGAGGAUGCGAGCGUUAUCCGGAUUUAUUGGGUUUAAAGGGAGCGUAGACGGGACGUUAAGUCAGUUGUGAAAGGCUGCGGCUCAACCGCAGCACUGCAGUUGAUACUGUCGUCCUUGGGUGCGGUUGAGGUGCGUGGAAUUCGUGGUGUAGCGGUGAAAUGCUUAGAUAUCACGAAGAACUCCUAUUGCGAAGGCAGCGCACCAAGCCGCUACUGACGUUGAGGCUCGAAAGUGUGGGUAUCAAACAGG